CUCUCUGGCCACACAAUUCAAACCUUUUCACUGGUGCCCAAAGGAGAGAGAGAAUAAACUUGAACAUUCUGACUUUGAAGGACAUGACCAGGCUAGCCCAGGAGAAAGAUGGAGCACAUAUGGAGCAGAGCUGCCCCAGCCAACCGCUUGAACAUGAAAGACAGAGAAUUGACCAGAAGCAAGCGUCCUUAGAGUGGGGUCGUCAUAUUUGAGAAAUGUGCUACAGGGAUCUAGGACACUGCAUUGCCUCACAGCUAAAUUCCCACUGGAUUGUUGGUCUGAAUCACCGAUUGAAAAAUCAAAUGUCUUCAGGGACCCGGCAGGAUCCCGAAGGACGCCG
rnacentral:lncRNA from 1 species